GUCGAACGGACCGUAUACGCAGCUUGCUGCGUGUAUGGUUAGUGGCAGACGGGUGAGUAAUGCAUAGGAAUCUACCUAGUAGUAUGGGAUAGCCACUAGAAAUGGUGGGUAAUACUGUAUAAUCCCUGCGGGGGAAAGAUUUAUCGCUAUUAGAUGAGCCUAUGUCAGAUUAGCUAGUUGGUGGGGUAAUGGCCUACCAAGGCGGUGAUCUGUAGCUGGUCUGAGAGGAUGAUCAGCCACACUGGAACUGAGACACGGUCCAGACUCCUACGGGAGGCAGCAGUGGGGAAUAUUGGACAAUGGGCGCAAGCCUGAUCCAGCUAUGCCGCGUGAGUGAGGAAGGCCUUAGGGUUGUAAAACUCUUUCAGUAGGGAAGAUAAUGACGGUACCUACAGAAGAAGUCCCGGCAAACUCCGUGCCAGCAGCCGCGGUAAUACGGAGGGGGCAAGCGUUGUUCGGAAUUAUUGGGCGUAAAGGGCAUGUAGGCGGUUUGGUAAGUUAAAGGUGAAAUACCAGGGCUUAACCCUGGGGCUGCUUUUAAUACUGCAGGACUAGAGUCCGGAAGAGGAUAGCGGAAUUCCUAGUGUAGAGGUGAAAUUCGUAGAUAUUAGG
rnacentral:rRNA from 1 species